rfam:Gossypium raimondii Chr08_contig_1269, whole genome shotgun sequence.
UGUUAAAAUUUUCAUUCAUUUGUAUUGUUAAAAAUUAACGUAACUGAGAGAAUAAUCAGAUAGUGACACGUGACAUGCCACGUAUACCUCAUGAUAAUAUAUAAAGAUAAGUUUUUAACUGCAAAAAUGGAUAAUUUUUUUAAUA